rnacentral:rRNA from 1 species
AUGGCUCAGGAUGAACGCUAGCGGCAGGCUUAACACAUGCAAGUCGAGGGGCAGCGGGAUGUAGCAAUACAUUGCCGGCGACCGGCGGAUGGGUGCGUAACGCGUAUGCAACCUACCUUAUACAGGGGAAUAACCUUUCGAAAGGGAGACUAACACCCCAUAGUAUUGAUUUAAGGCAUCUUAGAUUAAUUAAAUAUUUAUAGGUAUAAGAUGGGCAUGCGUAUGAUUAGCUAGUUGGUAAGGUAACGGCUUACCAAGGCGACGAUCAUUAGGGGUUCUGAGAGGAAGGUCCCCCCACACUGGUACUGAGACACGGACCAGACUCCUACGGGAGGCAGCAGUGAGGAAUAUUGGUCAAUGGGCGCAAGCCUGAACCAGCCAUGCCGCGUGCAGGAAAAGACGGCCUUAUGGGUUGUAAACUGCUUUUACAUAAGACUAACCGUAUAUUUGCGAAUAUACCUGAAUGUAUUAUGAGAAUAAGGAUCGGCUAACUCCGUGCCAGCCGCUGC